UGGCAGGACCUGGCAGGACAAGAGAAUUAAGCAACAGAUCAUUGCACAUGUUUUCUCUGUCUGAGGUUAGCGCGUACAAAUGGCUAACACACAAAAAGGGAUCUUUUCUUCUGGUUCUGCUCAGCACAGUUGUAAAUAGAUUUCUUCGGCAAAUAAUCCAGAUUCUGGCUAGGCUCAGCCUCUCCACCCCAUCUUUAAUAUGUCAAUUAAAGAGAUCAGUGCCUUGAUCAGUUGUCAUCAGAGGCUUGCUCUGACAGCAGAUGGGAGUGGCAACAAAGACCCUCAGCCACACAUUCUUUGGAGAGUCUAAAUUGAAGAUACCAUCCUGUCCCUCCCCUACGAGAUCAUGGAACCCUGCAGAAGAGGAGGAGUCAGAGAGGAUGGAGGACCCCAGGACAAGGCCAAUCAGAUUGACUAAGCAGGACACUGGGCUCACAGAGACUGAAGCAGCAACCCAGGGUCUGCAUGGGUUAGGACUCUGCAUGUUACACUGUUAGGUUUAUGUUUUGUGACAAAGGGUGUGUCUCUGAUUUUUUGCCUCCUAUUGGGUUGCACUGUUCAGCCUCAAUAUGAGGACUUUUGCCUUGUUUUAUUGUAUCCUGUUUUUCUUGUUUGGCUGUGGACUCUUACAGGCCUGCUCUUUUCUGUAGAGAAAACCGAUGGGAAGUUGUUCUGGGGGAGAGGGAAGGUGGGGAAAUUCGGAGGAACAGAGGGAAGGAAAACUGUGGUAGGGAUGUAUUGUAUGAGAGAGAAGAAUCUGUUUUUAAUAAAAAUUCAUUUAAAAGAUAAGUAAUAGUGAGAAAGAGAAAGGUAGAUUUAUUAACGUGUGACCUCAUAGGGAAGCUCUAAGGGGCUCUAGUGGUCAGAUCAAGAGCUGUUGCUACUCUCGGAGAGGAUCCAAGUUCAGUUCCCAAGGGUCUACAUAGAAGCUCAUAACCAUCUGUGACUCCAGUUCCAGAAGAUUCAAUGCCCGUUUCUGACUGUCGUGGGUAUUGCGUGUACAUGGAGCACAGACACACACAGGCAAAACACUCAUGUACACAUAUACAUGUGUAUGUUUAAAUAAAUAGAUACAUUUGUGUGUGUGUUUUAAAAUGAAAGAAAGCCUCUAAUUUAGCCUCUGAUUUGUCUUACAAUUUUCAGAGGUUUUGAGUUUGUGACCACCACAGCAGGGAGCAUGGCAGCAAGCAGGCAGACAUGUCACAGGAGCAAGAGCUGAAAACUUAUAUCUUUAUCCACAAUCGUGAGGCAGAGAGAGCUAACUAGGAAUGGCUGGGCUUUUGAUUUGAUUGCUGGUGUUUUGUUUUGUUUUCUUUUCCUUUCUGAGACAGGUUUUCACUGUGUACCCCAGCUGUCCUGAAGCUUGCUCUGUAGACCAGGCUGGCCUUGAACUCAGAUGCCUGCCUGCUUCUCGUCUUAAGUACUGGUAUUAAAGCAUGUGCCACCACUGCCCAACGGGCCUGGGCUUUUGAAAUAUCUUCUCCAAUAAAGCCACACCUCCUAAUCUUUCCCAGAGAGUUUCCUAACCGGGGAGCAAGCAUUCAAAUACACGAGCCUGUGGACAUUCUCAGUCAAGCAGCACUGAGGUAGAGGAGGAUAGACACAGGGCAAGCUUCACGGGUUGACAUCUGGUGACUAGCCCCAAUCUGAGCUGCCUGAGAGCCCUCAGCAUCUUGUUAGCUCACCAGAUGCCAUUAUUACUUUGAAUCAUCAAAGCUCUAUGUCAGGCAAGGGGAAAGACCAUGUGUGGCAUAUAAUUUCUAUCCUCCCAAUAAGAUGCCACCAUUGUAAAUGACUCACAAUGAUUUUGUUCUUGCUGGGAUGUCCUGCGUACUUCCUUUUGUAUUUUCACACAUGAGGAAGCCACUCCAAAGCUUUGUGUCAUGAGGUGUCCAGCCAGUGUCUCAUGUCUCCUUCCUCUUUAGUCCUUGCCCUGUACUUCUCUCUGUACAUUUCCCUUUUAUCGAGCAUAGAUUCUCUUCUCAUACUAUUAUCUUGAUCAUAGUUCCUGUCCCCUCACACCUCCCAGUUCCUUCCAUCCUCACUUUCCUUAUGGUUCAUUCCCUCUCUGCCUCUCAUUUAAAAAGAAAAGGCUUCUAAGAGAUGACAACCCAACAUAAGAAAGUAAAAUGUAAGAUGAAGCAAAAACGAUCAUAUGAAAGGUGGACACAGAAGGAAAGCAGUCCCAAGAACAGGCAACAGUGUCAGAGAACCAUUUAUUCUUACAGUCAGGAGUUCUACAAAAAUAUACUAAGCUAAAAGCUAUAAUAUAUACACAGAGGAUCUGCUCCAAACCCAAGAAGGGCCUGUGAUUGCUGCUUCAGUAUUUAUAAGCUCAUAUGUGCCUUACUUAAUUGAUUCAGUAGAACAUGCUCUCCCAGUGUUGUUUAUCCCCUCUGGCAUUUACAGUCUUUCUGCCUCCUUUUCUGUGGGAUUCCCUGGGCUCUAGGGGGAGGAAUAUGAUUGAGAAAGCAAGACACAUGUGUAAUUAGGUAGUCCUGGUCAAGAAGUGGUCCUGCCAUCAUUAGCCCCCCCUGUUAAAUAAACUCUUGGUGGCAAUCUAGUGACUGUCAUCACUAUAGUGGGUUAACCUUAUUUCUGGAGGAUAAUGACUUCUGUCUCUUUUCUUGCCCUCAUGGAUAAUUACCCUUCUCUGAGAGGGAAUGGUUGUAUGUCCCCUGAGAUUUAUUCCUCCUGGAGUCCAAGGUGACUGAAAGUUUUGAACAAUUUAGUUUUGUGUCUUCAACCUUGAAGGAAGAUAAGAGAGGUUAGGUAUGCAGAGUAAAGCAGGAGUCUGAGCCAAAGCAAAGACAACAGAAACAGAAGGAAGCCUACAGCCAGACUCUUAUCCUGCUUUUACUGCCUAUGGGCCAAAGUGAGGAGACAAUGGUUUUCAGCAAAAACAAAACAAAACAACAACAAAAAACAGCUUUUAACUGUGGUGUUAAGUGAUAUUGAAAAGUGAUGAAAUUAUACUUUAUAUAUUAAUAACAGUAAUAAUAUGAUAGACAAGUAUAGUAUAGAACUUUGGCGAUAGAAGCAGGAAGAUCAUGGGUGUAGUCAGCCUAGACUACAACGAGGCCGUGCCUUCAAAAAAAAGGAAGAAAGCAAGCAAAAAGCAUAAGUUCAUGUUAGAGUAAGACCACUUUAUUUUGUAUGACAAUAAAUGCUUAUUAAAACACUUUAAAAUCUC